rnacentral:rRNA from 1 species
AUACGGAGGGUGCAAGCGUUAUCCGGAAUUAUUGGGUUUAAAGGGUCCGUAGGCGGCUAGAUAAGUCAGUGGUGAAAUUCUCUCGCUCAACGAGAGACCUGUCAUUGAUACUGUCUUGGCUAGAGUUACAGUGAGGUGAGUGGAAUGUGUAGUGUAGCGGUGAAAUGCAUAGAUAUUACACAGAACACCGAUUGCGAAGGCAGCUCACUAACUGUAUACUGACGCUGAUGGACGAAAGCGUGGGGAGCAAACAGGAUUAGAAACCCCAGUAGUCC